rnacentral:rRNA from 1 species
GACGCACGCUGGCGGCGUGCCUAAUACAUGCAAGUAGGACGCAGUUGCGAAUGAGUGAGUAACGCUUAGGUAACUGCCUAUUAGAAGGUGAUAACUAUUGUAAACGAUAGCUAAUACCGCAUACUAGUACAUGGACAUGCGUUUUAUUAGCUAGUAGGUAGGGUAAUGGCCUACCUAGGACACGAUACAUAGCCGACCUGGUAGGGUGAUCGGGCAAACGGUGACUGAGAAACGUCCCAGAACCCUGCGGUGGGCAGCAGUAGGGAAUCUUCGGCAAGUGGGGGAACCCUGACCUAGCAACGCCGCGUGAUUGAAGAAGGUUUUCGGAUCGUGAAGCUCUGUUGUUAAGGAAGCGGUACUUAACCAGAAAGGGACGGCUAACUACGUGCAAGCAGCCGCGGUAAUUC